rnacentral:rRNA from 1 species
UGGUCUUGACAUAGUGAGAAUCUUUCAGAGAUGAGAGAGUGCCUUCGGGAAUUCACAUACAGGUGCUGCAUGGCUGUCGUCAGCUCGUGUCGUGAGAUGUUGGGUUAAGUCCCGCAACGAGCGCAACCCUUUUCCUUAUUUGCCAGCGGGUUAAGCCGGGAACUUUAAGGAUACUGCCAGUGACAAACUGGAGGAAGGCGGGGACGACGUCAAGUCAUCAUGGCCCUUACGACCAGGG